rnacentral:rRNA from 1 species
UACGUAGGGGGCUAGCGUUGUCCGGAAUCAUUGGGCGUAAGAGCGCGUAGGCGGCCAGAUAAGUCCGGUGUGAAAGUCAAAGGCUCAACCUUUGAAUGCCGCUGGAAACUGUCUGGCUAGAGUCCGGGAGGGGCGAGUGGAAUUCCUGGUGUAGCGGUGAAAUGCGCAGAUAUCAGGAGGAACACCCAUUGCGAAGGCAGCUCGCUGGGACGUUACUGACGCUGAGACGCGAAAGCGUGGGGAGCAAACAGG